AUCAAGAAAUUGCAGUGGGUUAUCAGAAUUUAUUAACAUCAGUGUCACUAAAGUUGGUAUACAACCUCCCACUGCUAAAUUUGACUGGCUUAAA
rnacentral:sRNA from 1 species